GAGCACACGUAGCUGGUUAGAGCGUGGUGCUAAUAACGCCAAGGUCUUGGGUUCGAUCCCCAAAGGAAGCA
rnacentral:tRNA from 1 species